rnacentral:rRNA from 1 species
AGUCGAACGAUGAACCUCACUUGUGGGGGGAUUAGUGGCGAACGGGUGAGUAACACGUGAGUAACCUGCCCUUGACUCUGGGAUAAGCCUGGGAAACCGGGUCUAAUACUGGAUACGACCUUCUGGCGCAUGCCAUGUUGGUGGAAAGCUUUUGUGGUUUUGGAUGGACUCGCGGCCUAUCAGCUUGUUGGUGGGGUAAUGGCCUACCAAGGCGACGACGGGUAGCCGGCCUGAGAGGGUGACCGGCCACACUGGGACUGAGACACGGCCCAGACUCCUACGGGAGGCAGCAGUGGGGAAUAUUGCACAAUGGGCGCAAGCCUGAUGCAGCGACGCCGCGUGAGGGAUGAAGGCCUUCGGGUUGUAAACCUCUUUCAGUAGGGAAGAAGCCGGUCUUUUGGGUUGGUGACGGUACCUGCAGAAGAAGCGCCGGCUAACUACGUGCCAGCAGCCGCGGUAAUACGUAGGGCGCAAGCGUUAUCCGGAAUUAUUGGGCGUAAAGAGCUCGUAGGCGGUUUGUCGCGUCUGCCGUGAAAGUCCGGGGCUUAACUCCGGAUCUGCGGUGGGUACGGGCAGACUAGAGUGCAGUAGGGGAGACUGGAAUUCCUGG